AAUAAACCAAAUUUUCACUUUUUACCUAUAACGUUUAACUCUUCAUCUUAUCAAAAAAAUUUAUGAUUAAUAUUUUUGUUUUAUUAGAUAGUAAAUCAUGAAUUGGACUUAACAUGUGACUAAUUUUUUUUCAAUUUCUUAAAAAAUUUUAAAUAAGACGAAUGGUCAAACGCUAGAAACAGGAACUGAAGAGUUAGUUUACU
rnacentral:pre_miRNA from 1 species